rnacentral:rRNA from 1 species
UGUGAACGCUGGCGGUAGGCCUAACACAUGCAAGUCGAACGGCAGCACAGUAAGAGCUUGCUCUUAUGGGUGGCGAGUGGCGGACGGGUGAGGAAUACAUCGGAAUCUACUUUUUCGUGGGGGAUAACGUAGGGAAACUUACGCUAAUACCGCAUACGACCUACGGGUGAAAGCAGGGGAUCUUCGGACCUUGCGCGAUUGAAUGAGCCGAUGUCGGAUUAGCUAGUUGGCGGGGUAAAGGCCCACCAAGGCGACGCUCCGUAGCUGGUCUGAGAGGAUGAUCAGCCACACUGGAACUGAGACACGGUCCGGACACCUACGGGAGGCAGCAGUGGGGAAUAUUGGACAAUGGGCGCGAGCAUGAUCCAGCCAUACCGCGUGGGUGAAGAAGGCCUUCGGGUUGUAAAGCCCUUUUGUUGGGAAAGAAAAGCAGCAGGUUAAUACCCCGCUGUUCUGACGGUAACCAAAGAAUAAGCACCGGCUAACUUCGUG